UGGGGAAUAUUGGACAAUGGGCGCAAGCCUGAUCCAGCCAUGCCGCGUGAGUGAUGAAGGCCUUAGGGUUGUAAAGCUCUUUUGUCCGGGAAGAUAAUGACUGUACCGGAAGAAUAAGCCCCGGCUAACUUCGUGCCAGCAGCCGCGGUAAUACGAAGGGGGCUAGCGUUGCUCGGAAUCACUGGGCGUAAAGGGCGCGUAGGCGGACUCUUAAGUCGGGGGUGAAAGCCCAGGGCUCAACCCUGGAAUUGCCUUCGAUACUGAGAGUCUUGAGUUCGGAAGAGGUUGGUGGAACUGCGAGUGUAGAGGUGAAAUUCGUAGAUAUUCGCAAGAACACCGGUGGCGAAGGCGGCCAACUGGUCCGAUACUGACGCUGAGGCGCGAAAGCGUGGGGAGCAAACAGG
rnacentral:rRNA from 3 species